rnacentral:rRNA from 1 species
AUUGAACGCUGGCGGCAGGCCUAACACAUGCAAGUCGAGCGGAUGAAGGGAGCUUGCUCCUGGAUUCAGCGGCGGACGGGUGAGUAAUGCCCAGGAAUCUGCCUGGUGGUGGGGGAUAACGUCCGGAAACGGGCGCUAAUACCGCAUACGUCCUGAGGGAGAAAGUGGGGGAUCUUCGGACCUCACGCUAUCAGAUGAGCCUAGGUCGGAUUAGCUAGUUGGUGGGGUAAAGGCCUACCAAGGCGACGAUCUGUAACUGGUCUGAGAGGAUGAUCAGUCACACUGGAACUGAGACACGGUCCAGACUCCUACGGGAGGCAGCAGUGGGGAAUAUUGGACAAUGGGCGAAAGCCUGAUCCAGCCAUGCCGCGUGUGUGAAGAAGGUCUUCGGAUUGUAAAGCACUUUAAGUUGGGAGGAAGGGCAGUAAGUUAAUACCUUGCUGUUUUGACGUUACCAACAGAAUAAGCACCGGCUAACUUCGUG